rnacentral:rRNA from 1 species
GGUGAGUAACACGUAACUUAUCUGCCCUGGAGAGGGGGAUAACGCACCGAAAGGUGUGCUAAUACCCCAUAAGCUCCCGCACUGUAGAGGUGUGAGAGAAAAGCUGAGGCGCUCUGGGAUGAGGUUGCGGCCCAUCAGCUAGUUGGUAGGGUAAGAGCCUACCAAGGCGACGACGGGUAGGGGGCCUGAGAGGGUGACCCCCCACACUGGGACUGAGACACGGCCCAGACUUCUACGGAAGGCAGCAGUGAGGAAUAUUGCUCAAUGGGCGCAAGCCUGAAGCAGCGACGCCGCGUGGGUGACGAAGGCCUUCGGGUCGUAAAGCCCUUUUCUUGGUGACGAGAGAGGACGGUAGCCAAGGAAUAAGUGUCGGCUAACUACGUGCCAGCAGCCGCGGUAAAACGUAGGACGCAAGCGUUAUCCGGAAUUACUGGGCGUAAAGCGCGCGCAGGCGGGCCAGCAAGUCAUGUGUGAAAGCUCCCGGCUAAACUGGGAGAGGUCAGAUGAUACUGCUGGUCUUGAGGAUGUCAGAGGCGUGUGGAAUUCCGCGUGUAGUGGUGAAAUGCGUAGAUAUGCGGAGGAACACCAGUGGCGAAGGCGGCACGCUGGGACACACCUGACGCUGAGGCGCGGAAGCAUGGGUAGCGAACGGGAUUAGAAACCCCGGUAGUCCAUGCCGUAAACGAUGUACACUAGACGUUCGUGCAGCUUCGGUUGUGUGAGUGUCGAAGCCAACGCGCUAAGUGUACCGCCUGGGGAGUACGGUCGCAAGGCUAAAACUCAAAGGAAUUGACGGGGGCCCGCACAAGCAGCGGAGCGUGUGGUUUAAUUCGAGGCUACGCGAAAAACCUUACCUGGGUUUGACAUCAAUGCGAACAAAAGCGAAAGCUGGCGGUCCUUCGGGCGCAUUGACAGGUGCUGCAUGGCUGUCGUCAGCUCGUGUCGUGAGAUCUUCGGUUAAGUCCGAAAACGAGUGCAACCCCUAGCUUUAGUUACAAGUGUCUAGUCGGACUGCCUGCGGCAAGCAGGAGGAAGGUGGGCAUGAUGUCAAGUCAGCAUGUCCUUUAUGUCC